GACGAACGCUGGCGGCGUGCUUAACACAUGCAAGUCGAACGGAAAGGCCCUGCUUUUGUGGGGUGCUCGAGUGGCGAACGGGUGAGUAACACGUGAGUAACCUGCCCUUGACUUUGGGAUAACUUCAGGAAACUGGGGCUAAUACCGGAUAGCAGCUCCCGCUCCAUGGUGGGGGUGGGAAAGUUUCGGCGGUUGGGGAUGGACUCGCGGGUUAUCAGCUUGUUGGUGGGGUAGUGGCUUACCAAGGCUUUGACGGGUAGCCGGCCUGAGAGGGUGACCGGCCACAUUGGGACUGAGAUACGGGCCAGACUGCUACGGGAGGCAGCAGGGGGGAAUAUUGCACAAUGGGCGGAAGCCUGAUGCAGCAACGCCGCGUGCGGGAUGACGGCCUUCGGGUUGUGAACCGCUUUCGCCUGUGACGAAGCGUGAGUGACGGUAAUGGGUAAAGAAGCACCGGCUAACUACGUG
rnacentral:rRNA from 1 species